GUCUUAGGCUCCCUGGCUCCGGGUCCACUGGAAGGGCGGGUUCUCGAGCCUGAGUCAGGCUGGGGGUGGGGUUUGUGCAGGGGCGGGCCUGCUCACAGGAGCUAAGCCUAGGGUGGGGCGGAGCCAACACCAGAUGGAGGAGGGGAGAGGCGGGCAUAUGGGGCAUUCCUGUCAGUCAGGCCCCUGAGUCCUCCCCUGGCUUUGCCCCGCCCUGCCGCGGUUACGCGCAUAUUCCACCCUCCACUCCCAUGACGUCACGACCCUGUUACCAAAGCGCUUCUUAAAGGAGCCGCGAGUUUGGACGACUACAGCCCGCCUUCUUGUUGGGAGCCCUGGAGAUCCUUGGAACCUCUGUCCUGGCCCCCCAUCCCCCCCCCCCGAUGUGGAACCGGUCUUCAGCCUGGGUCCAGGCCCUCGCCGGGUUGUCAUGAUGCCAAGAUGCAUGAUGGGAGCAGGCAAAUUUGCACUGCCAAUGAGGUGGAAAUGCUGCUAUAAAGAAGCAAAGACUGGUGUCCAUCUUCACCCCACUUUGCACAGACAUAGGGUAUGCUCCUACUGCUCUGCUACACUCUGCAAUGGCAUCAAGCUCAAGCUGCAGUGUGGUUUGCCUUUAUCUCUGCCUGUCUCUAGUCUACCUCUCAACCCUUUUAUUCCACAAAAAUCCAUCUCUCAACUGAUUAGUGUCCACACCACUCAGUAGUAGAUGUCUGCUGUGAACUGAACUGCGUACCCCAUCCAGACUCGGUAGACUUAAGCCCUAACUCCACAUUCGGUUAUUGGGAAAUAAGGACUAUCCUGGGGUCUUUAAAGUUACAGGGGCCUGAAGGGCGGCGUUCUGAUCUACUGGGAUUAGUGUCCUUAUAAAAAGUGGGAUCAGAAGUCCUCUGUCCUCUGCCCCUCCAGCUGCACAUAAAGGUCAUGUGAGCACAGCAAGAGGACCUCUGCCUAACACCAGGAGCACCCUGUGCUGGAACUUGAAUUUCCAAGCUCUGGAGCUGUAAGAAAUAAAUGUCUGCAGUCAAACUUCCUGUCUGUGUCAUUUUGCCAUCCCCACGGAGCUGAAUAAUUCAACAAAGUUAACGCAUGCCAAGCA